AUACACAAUGACGCGCGACAGUGCGCGAUCACUGAGCUCACUCAAGGACGCCUUGGCAGACGCUACUUAAUAUUGUAUUAUUGACAGUGUUUCAAAAUGCUUGGAUUGACGGACGCGGAGAUCGCAGCAGAAGUAGCGGCCCAACGAAGUCGCUGCCAAGGUUGAUCCCGCAAGCGCUGAUGUUGCCCCGCUCCCGACUUCAACUGGGGCUGUAGCUGCUUUGGCCCGUCUAUGCCACUAUUGCGGCACAAUAGGGGCACCAGCCCAUCGCUUUCGGGGCCUCGGUAGGGUUUUCCUCCUGGUUAGUGAAUCAUCCGGACACUUCGGAGCCAUUAAUCCACCACUUCAGCUUGGGACUGUCCAAGAUGCUGCAUAUGUAACACUCACUGGCUGAAAGCACCGCCUAGUCCAGUCUGAGAGUGUCAGGGACGGAUAAUCGAAGAGGUCCACUCGUUAUGUGCUGCUCUUUCAAUGAACCUCUUUGAUGCCAACUUAGAACCCUGGCAUCUUAUGAAGCCAGGCUUUCACCUGAAAGAAGAACCGGAGAGUCAACUUACAGCACGUAGCACGUUUAUCGUUACAAGUACAAGUAAA